UACAGCCAUAUUACGUUGAAACAGUGGUUCUCGUACGAUCACCGAAGUAAAGCAAUACCGAGCCUGGUCAGUACCUAGAUGGGUGACUGCUGGAGUAUACCAAGUACUGUAAG